CACAUUACGCUCAAAUAAACCGUAUCGAUUGUCCUGACAUAGUUCGGUGUAGGGAACGAGUUUACCUGGCGACAAGUGACGUGGCGGAUUUUCAUUGGCUGAGGGGAGAUUUUAUAAAACUUCCGCGUCCAUUUCAUAUUUACUCGUCAAAGCGAGUUGUGUCGCCUCCGAGGAUUAAAACUAGAAAACAUUUUUUUUUUACUUCUGCACUUGUGACAUUUAAUCAUGAACUUGCUUUCAUUCUUUCUCCUCCUACAAACACACAGCGUGACGCCUGUUUUUCCAUUCACUGAAGUUUUUAAUGACUGCAUCAUGUCAUGUUCCAAACUUCCCAGAGUUUGUGGAAGUUGGUUCUAUUGAUGAAGUUGAGAUUUGUCACUAUGACAACCACAGCAAGAAAGCAGAAUCACAGCAGAGGAUCCAAACUAGUGGCAGAGAGAAACACGGAUCAGUGUUAAUGAACACAUCAGCAAAGUCGACAUAGAAAUGUAUGGGAAGAUCCUCAACCAAACUGAAGAGUCUCCAGAGGUGUUCCUCCUCCGGAAGACGCCGUCCUUUCCGGUCAGCUGCUUCGCCACGGGCUUCUACCCCGACCGAGCCGUCAUGUUCUGGAGGAAAGACAGCGAGGAGCAUGGAGAGCUCCUCUCCAACCACGACGGAACCUUCCUGAGGUGAAAGUGGAGGUGACGGAGGUACGAAUGUGUGUUCCAGCUGUCUGGCGUCGAGGAGGACCUGGUCACCAAGCUGGAGAGAAGAAGCAUCCUGAGCAACGCCAGCGAUAAAGGCAACGUGGCGGUCCUCGGUGGGGCGGGCCUCCUGGCGGCCGUCAUCGUCUUCAUCAUCAUCAAGCGGCGCAAACGCAGACAAGCCGAAUACCAUCCGGCUCCUGCUGACGGUGGUAACGAGCUCCCAGAGAGACCUGAAGGCUGAGUGAGAGCACACAGUGACUUAUCUCACAUGGACUUGUCUCAUGUUCUUCUGACUUUGUGUGAAGAUGAUGUUCCACUUGGCUCUCAUGGCGCUCACUCUGCCACACGCUAACUUCUGCACUUGGAUUUUUGUUGGGAAUGUGCUGAGUCGUCUUCUUCCUGCAGGAUGCUUUGUGCACUGGAACACAGAGAUGUCUCCAUCGCUGAGGGACGUCAUCACACUUCACUGACAUUUGCACAAAUUGCUCCUCAUGUUAUAUGAUGUCUUCUUUGGCUGUUUAUGCCCCCCAAAUCCUAAGUGUCUAAUAUGCAGCUAAGAUUGAGGGAUGGACGAGCAGGGGACAAGACAGGAGGACUGGAGCCCCAUAGGAGGUAUCCUC